UUGUUUUGUUUUUUUUUUUUUUGUUUUCCUCUCUUCCCUCACAGAGGAUGACUGGAAGUGGGCUAAGCGAAUGCGCUACCCAAAGACAAAUUGUCCAGCUUGUCACGGUGAUCCCUGCUCCCCCAAGGAGCCCUUCUCAAGUCUGGACAGUCUGCCAACAAGAGAGGUUGCAGAAGAGGAUUUUAUUGUAUAUGGAUCUCUCUUCUUAAGAGUAACUAGCUCACAUGGACUUCAGAAACGGAAGUUUUGCCUUCCUCAUCACUUGUCUAAAAAGGGAAAUGAAAGUAGUUUGUGGAGAAGGAAGAGAUUUACACUGCUGUUACACAUUCUUAAACUGUACUUCAGUGAUCAGCAACAGAUACAUUGAGCUUGAUAUUGAAGUGCUUGGGAAAGACACCUGUGCUAGAAUAAGAUGCUGAUGCCUCUUGAAGGCACCUAGAGGAAACAUCUGAGAGAGCAAUGCUGAGAAGAGAAACUGAGAUACUGCAGGGGACCUGGGUCUUCUAGCUGCAGAGAAGGAAGCUCUCUCAUUCCAGAUUCCAUCUUCUGAUUUUCAGUUCGAAAAUACAAUUUAAAUGCUUACCAGUGGAAUCUUCUCCUACACUUUUGCCUCUGCCUGCAGUGAUGUAAAUCAGGAAAGAUGUCUUCUUAAUCCGUGCGGCAAUGUGACUGAAGUUAGCAUGGACUAUUGGAGUUAAACAUGCAGAGACUGGGAUUCCGUUCGGAGAUGUUGUCCGUGAUUUUCACCAAUAUUGUCCUUAGUUAAAUAAAAUGAGGCGUAACCAUGUCAGAGUAACAGGUGUUUAGUAAAACGAGAGUGCCUUCACCUUUCCCAGCAGCCAGUACCAACAUGUGAGUAUUAUUUUGUAACCUCUUACAUUCAUGGUAACGUUUGGAGAUUUAAAAAGGAGAUUGAAACUGAGGAAAUGAUAAACUGCUUUCACCACAUUUGCUGGUUGAUGCAUAAUUCCAGCGGGAAUUGAUAAAAUUUUGUGCACGAACACACACAACUUCCGGCACGAGCCUGCUGGGCCAAAAUGGAGAUUAGCAAAGCCAUCUUUCUCUCCCUCGCAUUUCUGUGCUAUGGUAAGAUUUUUUUGCCUUGCAUUUGAAUUAAUGAAGUUAACACCAUUAACACAUGCAGAGGAUGCUUUUUUGAAAGAGAUGAACUUUUUAGAUUCUUUCUGGCCAUAUGUUUCUCUAUACAUCAGUUUAAUUCAAGGCAGCAAUAACUUGCUACAGUUUCUGAAGCAUUUUAUAACGGGCAAUCGUUUUCAAAAAGGUUGAAAACCUAACAUCAGGGAGAAGUAGUACUUUUUUUUUUUUUAGGGGAUACAACCAGAAAGGAUCAUAGAAGUCUCUGCUUUUUGAUCCCACCCUUUCUUUUCAGGCCAGGAGAAGACAAAGAACUUGAGUAGCUCUUCUGCAGUUGGGGAAGAGGUCUCAGAAUGGGUCCAAAGUUUCUGAAGAAAUAUUCAGAACACAUAUUUGCCUUUUACAAAUUGCUUAUACCUUUUGUUCGCUCCUUGGUAUCUGCUUUGUCCAAUACUACCUGUUUAGGCAAAGUCACUUGGGCCUUGUGCCAUGUAUAUAAAUAUCUUAAAACAACGGAAGAAUGAAUGAGUGCUUGGGUGUAGGAAAUGAGAUGAAGAGCAUACGUUUCAGAGAGGGUAUGCUAUCUUAAAAAAAAUGCUUCAAGAAUCAGAUUAGUUCUGCAGUGUGGGAGGAUUUCCCACCUGUGCAUUCAUCCAUAUGUAUUGAACAAGAUAUUCUUAGUCUCCUUUUAAAAAAGCAACCAUAGACGUUAUACAGUGUUUAUAACUUUGUCCAGACAAGGCAAAAAGUUGAGCUUAAGCCAGGCUCAAUUAACAUGAUCUAGCCAACGUUGAUAUAAAUAUAAAGGCUUCUCAUAACAAAAUACCCAAGGAAAACAUUACUUUAGAUUCUGCAGGUAAUCUAGUCUAGUCAGUACAUAGUCUAGGCAAGAAACAACAUUUUCCAAGACAGAAGAAAGUUUGGAAAUGAUAUAAAGAUGCUAUUUAGCGGUAAAUUUGGGUCUGGAUUUACAGUGCAUAAUAACUUCCUGGUAACUUCUCAUGUCCUUAAUGCAAAUUACAUGCAUGUUUUCCUCUUGUCACUUUCUAAUUUAGAUAGAAGGAUUACACUACUUAAUUCUGACUACAUGUCCGAAAAAAAUUGUUUCUAAUGGAGGUGAUUAAACAAUCAAACAGGUUACCAGGGAAUCUAUGGAGUCUCUGUCCCUGGAGAUACUCAGAAUUCAACUGGAUAUGGUCUUGAGCAACCUCAUCUGGCUUAGCAGUCAGCCCUGUUUUGACCAGGAGCUGGACUGAAACCUCUGGUUAGAAGAAAACUACUGCAGGAAUCCUGAUCGAAAUGAAAAUGGACCAUGGUGUUUCACAACAGAUCCUGCUACCAGAUUAGAUUACUGUAGCAUUCCAGAAUGUGAAGGAGAGAAAAAAGUAAUCGAGAGAGUUGGGAUCAUCAAGGUCACACUGAUGAAUGUGAUGAAAGCGUGUUAGUGAUUUAUGGAUUCCAUGGUUCCCAUGGAAAAUCUUGCUGUUCUUUAGAAGAAGCUAUUCUGAAGAGGAAGCAUCUCUAGUAGUUUUGCAAUUUGAAGGGAUGUUUCUGCUAAUAGCCAGUGGAGUGCAUGCAGUGUAAUGGUGAAGACUACCACGGAAAAGUUUCCAGAACAGAGUCUGGGAUUGAGUGCCAGCACUGGGAUGCUCAAGAGCCUCAUAUGCAUGGAUAUACCUUGGAAAAUUUUCCAGAGAAGGAAAGAUGAAGAUGAAUUCUGAAGAUGAAUUAUUGCCGUAACCCUGAUGGCGAACUUCAGCCUUGGUGUUUCACUACCAGCCCCACUAAGCGCUGGGAAUAUUGUGACAUUCCUCACUGCAGUGAGUCUGACUUCUAGCAAUUGCUCUACUGGGGCAAGCUGUCGCUCCAUGCAGUUGCUGGGCUCCCAUCAAAAGGAUGUGGAGUGGAAAGAAGAGAAGCAUGUGUGAGAAAAUAUUGGUGGGAAAACAUUAGUGAGAAAAACAUUAGCAAGAAAAAUCACUCACUAAGUUUCUGUUAAGUUAAGUUGUGUUAGUUUAGUGAGGGCAAAGUUGUCACACAAGUGUUACAAAGUAUAGCAUUGUCAGAGAAGUCAUGAAGACCCGAAUUUUUCUUCAACAACCUUAUUUUUUGGUACACCUGAGGAGGGCGUCAGUCGGCUUAAAUCUCAGGAGCACCAAGUUUUAGUUUCCACCUAACCUGCUAACUCAAGGGACAUCCAUGAAAUACCCUGGCCUCAUGGUGAUUUUUUGCCUAGUGUUAGCCAACAUGGGAUAAAUUCUUGCCUUUUUCUUAGUGAAGAUGGAUCCUGAAAGACAAACUCAGGCCUUGAAGAACUAAGAAUAUUGUCUUUAAAAUGGGUGUUUAUAUUGAAGGACAAACUAAUGCUUAGAUCCUCAGUCAUAUCCUCAUAUAUCCUCGUGAUGCUUCUUUUCUGCCUUUAAGAAGAAACAUGCUAACUAAUGGAGAUCACUACUUAUAGGCUUCUCUAAAGUAAGAAAUUGAAUUCAAGAAACUGUUACCUUGCUGAUUUUAAAAAUUUAACAAGACUUUUGGUACAAAUUAAAUUUUUAGAACCACAUUUUUCCCAAAGUGAAAUCAUAAGUGCAAGAAAAAUAUGCAUUCAUUUUCAUCCUCAGGGAAAAUAAAUAAAUAACUGCAGACUUUCACUCUUUUCAUACCUCUUGUCUGUUCGGUAUCUUUCUAAUGCAUCUAGCUCUCUGGCUUCCCUAGAAGUAGUCUUGAAGUUUGGAUCAUAGAUAGCAACUGCAUAUCCCUGUGUAAGCACUUCAGUCUUUUUGAUUUCUUCCUUCCUUCUUUCCUUCUUGCUAUUAGGCUGUUUCACUUGUAUUGAAAGCCUUUCACUCCUUGUUCUGAGUAUCCUCCUCAUCUUUCUCUUCUUUUCCCUCUCUUUUCCCUGCAGUGCCUCUCCUCAUAUCUUAUCCUUGGGCCUUACCCUUGCUCUUUCCAGCUGUCUGUAACUUUGCUCUUCCACCUGACUUUUGUCUUUCCAGUAAUGCCACUUUCCCACUUUCCAACUCUACUCCAGUAAUGCCACUUUUUCACUUUCCAACUCUACUUUUGAGACUGGUGCAGUGGAGUUGGGUUCAGAGUGGUCAUGUUGCUGCCUGAUAGCUGUAAAGAGAAGUACAGAACACGCUUCAGGAAGUCUAAUGUUUACCUUGUUGUCGCUCCCUCUCUCCUCCCCUCCACAAAGCUAAAAAGGAUGUGUUCUCUAUGUUUUUGUCUUGCCAUAGCUUUCCAGCAAUAUCACUUCUGUAUAAAAAAAAAAAGAGUGUGUUCAGCAUGAUACAAAGCUUAACCAUAUAUCCUGAGGCAUCCAUAUAUAUAUCCAUAUACCUGAGGCAUUGUUUCUAUUUUGUUCUUUUUCCUGGCACAGCUACACCCUCAUUGACUUUGGGACUGGGCCACCAGUGUCUUUCAGGGAAUGGAAAAGACUAUCGCGACAGGAUAGCCAUCACUGAAUCAGGCAAUACCUGUCAGCGCUGGAGCACUCAGUUUCCUCACAAACAUAGGCAACCUCCCGAGAACUAUCCCUGCAAGUAAAAGAAACACCUUCCGUAGUUAUAGGCUGUACCAUUACCAAGAAAGACUUAUCCUAAAAUGAUCCUCGUAAAAAUAUUUGUGAAUGUGAUGCCAGGUCUCUUCUUCCCUACUCUGCUUAUUACUCCUGUUUAGCUCUUUCCUUUGAUACUGCUCUUUCUUUCUUCUAGAUUAUUCUUUUUGUCUGGACAGCUUAUUAUUAGGUACUUAAGCCUUUCUCAGUGACAUUCACCGUUUUCCUGCUCCUCCUUUCUCCGUUCCAGCCUAUCCUGUUUCCUUCCUGGCUAACUAGUGUUCAAAGUGGUCCUAUGGUUGGUCUGGGUGUUCCAGGAACAGUAGUGGUCAAUUCAGACCUUCUGAUUACCCCCUAUUUUUGGAUCAUAUAGGUAUACUUGCCACGCAGCUUUAAAAGAGGCAGCACUGAUUUUAAAAUGCUCUAAAUUGAGUUUGGUUAGGGUUUUUUGCUCGCAAUACCAUUGAGCAACAAGCCAUUGGUUAAGGCGGUGUGUGUGUGGGAACACAGGGAAAGAACUGACUGGGGCUGGCAGCUGGUUACCUUAACUCUGUGGGCAAUGGAUCUAACCAAGUAAAUCUCCCCAGAGGCACUGGAAAUUUCUUCUGUUUCUGGUCCAGAAGGAAAGUGAAGGGAAAGGGCAGUAUGUGCCUGGAAUCAUCUAUUCAAAGUAGCAGGGGCUGGUGGGACUGGCAAGUGACACUGGAGCUGUCACGCACAUCUGUGUGACAUACAUAGAGUCACUGAGAGACUAAAGGUCUCAGGGAUCAGGAGAGAAGGACAACAGCUUGGAGUUUGAAUUGGAAGCUCUGAGCUGCACCCAAUGGUCUAGACCUGUUCAAAGAUGCAGAGGUUGAGAAAAUAUAAGAGAAUGGCACACCAGAUUGCACCAGUUUCAUCUAGACCAGUAUCCUAUUUAGCUACAAGAACAGAUCAUAUAUUGAGUACUUUGUAGCCUUCUGUGAUAAACUGGUGUUUCAUUGUCUUUGGUAUAUCCAUUUCUCUCUCCUUGCAGUGCUAUCUCACUUUAGCCAAUAUUAUUCUAAUAAGCAAUAUGCUUUGAGACAUAAGAGAGGGGAGAGAAGGAGACAGUUCUCUUAACUUCUAGAAUGGGAUGCUCUGCGGCUUCUUUUCCUGUCUGCUAAGGGCUUAUACACUCUCCAAAUCAGAGUAUGUUCCCACAUAUAGGAAUCUACAUAUAGGUCCAGCACAAAAGCCAUUUGAGACUGGUCAGAAUUUUGAAUAUGAGCCAAUCUUACUGGACUGCUCAGCUGCCAGUAUACAGACCUUACAGUAGGAAUGUUUUAAUGCAUGCCUUUAUGGAGCUGUUCCUGGUCUGAGAGCACAAAAGAGAAAACUUCAAACAUGAAAAGCUCAUCAUAUAGCCUUCAGCCAUGGAACCUUUAUUGCUGGAUUGGUUGACCACUUCCAAAACAGUAGUAUAUUGAAAUAAAAGGACAUGUAACAUAGGAUAAUGUUUUACCUAUGGUGAUGACUGUCCAGUAAAUGAAACAUGAAACAGGUCAGGAAGAUAGUUUACUGCUUUCUACUGCUUUGUGUAAGAUUUCCGGAAUGCUGUUGUUUUCAGUCAAUGUUUCCAUUUCAGGGGUUUAGAUAAAAAUUACUGUAGGAACCCAGAUGGUAAGAAGAGGCCCUGGUGCUAUACCACUGACAACACAACACGAUGGCAGUAUUGUAGCAUUCCUCCAUGUCCACAGAUAGCAUCACAAAUCACUGGAAAGAAAUGCCAAGCUUGGAACUCAGUGCUGCCGCAUCGUCACAACAGAACGGCAAACAAUUUCCCAAAAGCGGAUCUGAGAGAGAACUAUUGUCGAAACCCGGAUAAUGAUAUAGCCCCUUGGUAUUACACUACUGUUCCUACUGUGAGAUGGGAAUAUUGUAACCUGCAAAAGUGUGACUGUGGAGGACACCUUGCUUCACCUGAACCACCUUAUUCAACAUUAGACCCAGGCACUAAUAUGACUGGUUCAAACAUAACAGAAUGCAUUAUUGGCAAUGGUAAAGAUUAUCGUGGUGCAGUCACAAAAACUAGAAGCAACAGGACUUGUCAAGGGUGGAGUUCUCAGGAGCCUCAUCACCACAGUUAUCUCACUCCGGAGUGAGUCUUUUUUAGGUCUUCCUCAUACUUGACAAUCAGCUCUAGACAGGAUUUUCCCAGAGUCUUAAAUACAAAUGGUGGAAGGGGAAAAUACUUUUUUCUUCUUUUUGUGUAUGGUAAAUUUGCAACUGUUACUGAGUCUCAAAUCUGGAGCGCACAUGCUGCAGUAAAAUACUAAAUGGCCAGCUUAAAAACUUUUUCGCAGGGCAGGCUGAUGCAAGUCUUCUGAGCUCUUCACUGCUGUUGCUGAAAAUAUAGUGCAAAGAAAAAAUAACAUAAGUUCCUUAGUACCCACCUUGCUUCAGUGUAAACAUUACGGGUAGAAGUGGGUUUACCUGCAUAAUAUUAUCAGUCAAAACGUUGCUGCCUUUUAUCUAAUUAUUUCUAUUAUCCACUGUCCUCAAUGAUUCCUUUUGCUGCCUCAGAAAAGCUGAGGAAAUUUUGGAUCCAAUAAUCCAGUUAUUUCCUACACUGAAAAGAAAGAACUUGCAGGAUAUCCAGCUGAUCACAGUCACUUCUAUUAGAGGGAAAGGAGAGGGAAACAAUGUGGGAAAUUGUUUCCCUCAGAUGAGACUGAACAAGAUUCCCCUUAAAGGGAGGCCUAGCUUAUGACAGAAAAAUAAAUGACAACAUAAUACCUGAAAGUGGUAGGAAGGUGUGGAGGGCUAAAGCAAACAUAGAGCUAAGACAGUCCAGACAUUAUACUUAUAAAACAUUGACCUAUGUUGUAGCUUGCUCUGUAUGCAUAAGCUUGCUUCUUAUGUAUAGUUUUGCUAUUUACUUUAAACUCAAUAAAACAUG